rnacentral:lncRNA from 1 species
AUUUGUUCAUUUUAACCUUGACCACUCUUUUAAAAUUUAAUAAAAUAUUAAAUAAGGUUUCUGUAUCUGAAUUUGGCAGCUUCUGAUAAAUUAAAGAAUAUAUUUGGUAUAUAUAAAUCAAUGAGGGGUACUAAACAAACAACAAAAACAAGGCGUCUUUAGGUCAACAUAGUCUUCAACAAAGAUAGGGAUCUAUACAAUUUGUUCAGUGUUUAUAGUUUAAAAUUCGUCAACAAAAUUUACAAAAUAUCUAUAAAGAAAAAUGUCGACAAAAUUUACUAAAUAUAUAAAUAUCUAUUAACAUUUGUAAAAGAAAAAAAGUCAACAAAAUUUACUAAAUAUCUCGAAAGAAAAAAGUCCACAAAAUUUACUAAAUAUUUCUAAAAGAAAAAAGUCGACAUAAUUAACUAAAUAUCUAUAAUGAAAGAAGUCCAC